UUCCAUCAAAGCCACAUUUACCAUUCUUCCAACUGAUGCUGAUUAAAUAAAGCAGAUUCAUCUCUGAGUUGCUGAAACAGAAUUAUCAAUAUAACAAAUACUACAGAUUGGCUUCAGGUCAUGGAACCAUGUAAAGACUUUCCUGUGAUUGUUUGUCAGAUUGGAUUAGAUUGGAAUGGUUUAUUCAGCUGUUGGCUAUGAAUAACAAGAGUCCAGAAUAACAAGGCACAAGUAAAGAGAGCAAAUUCA
rnacentral:lncRNA from 1 species